AUAUAUAUAUAUAUAUAUAUAUACACGUAUGAUACGUACAAGUAUUUAUGUAAGCGAGAAUAUUUCUUUCAGUAGGAAAUCACAGGGAAGAAACGUAAUAAGUCUUUUAUAAAGAACAGCAAUUUGAAAAUUCCAACCAAGUACACAACAAAAUGAUGUUUCUAUUUGAUUUUGGGAUUAAAUAUCUACAGAGGGAUAUAAAAAUCAGAAAAUUGACGAAAAUAGAUUUAUUAGCUUUAUUAGAUUUAAUAGCUUUCUCGCGUGAUCUUUAUAUGAAUGUUAAAAAGAAAGCACAAUAAAUACAUUUUUAUUCAUUUUAUUUUAAUAUCGCUUCGUGACUAAAAGGAGAUAUUUUGAUAUAAAAGAGCUAAGAAUGAAAAGAUCCUGCUGUGUCCAGAGAUGUAAUUAAAUACAACCUACACGAUACAACACGACAAAAUUUGAUUAGAAGAAAAAUGGAAUAGUUAAACUUAUAGAAAUUAUUGUUACAAUUUUAUUUUAUAAUGUUAAUGAUCAAUGAGUUCACACUGUUGCGAUAGUUCUAUAGUUAUGCAACGAAAAUGAACUAGUUUUCUACCGUUCUUUUAUUUUAGUGUAUAACGUAAAAACUGGAAGUUGUUAGGUUGUUUUAUAGUCAUAAGACACAGUAUACAGCUAUUAAGACAAACAACUUUUUAGCAUUCCGGCAAGUAAUAUUUUUAUAACUAAAAACUAUGCUUAUGUCAUACUUAAAAAAAUACUCAAAAAUGUUUCAUCAUAGACCAAUAAAACGAUAACAUGGAAUUAAUUGAACGUAGUGAACUUUGCAAUUGCUCUUCUGUAAAAAAUGGAAAUAAUUUAGUAUUUUCUUAUUGCUUCGAAAAUUAUCUUACAAUACGUAAAUGCAGAAUAUUAUUAAAAUAUUCAUUAUUAUAAUAUUCAUUAUUAAAAUCUUCAUUAAAAUAUUCACGAGUUAUGUUGGAUUAAUAUUUGGCAAUUAUUGACUCGCAGUGUGAUACAGAAACGACUUUAUCUAUAAUACUUGAAAAUCAAUUGGUACUCUAAAAUCUAUAGUCAAGAUACAAUUUUAUGUAUUGAGUUUAAAUAUAAUCACAACUUUUAAAAGUAUCAUAUUUCAAAAUGUGUAAUUUACAUUGCAGUGCUUAUUGUUUUUCCACAUAAAGUUAACUCAUUGGCAUAGCAAUCUUUUCACAUUCCUAUAUAAGAUUAUAUUCCUAGACUAUAAUCACUAAACUACAAUCCUAUAUUAAACAUACCUGUAUGUAUUAUUUUUCCAUUCCCGAGAAAAUUCUGGCACAAACUGAAGGCGAUGGACAAUAAAACAUCAAAGAAAAAGAGAAACUGAGUCACCCAGCUACGGUUAAACUACAGCAAUUUGGAUACUGAAAUACGAACUCAUUACAAGAAAUAGAAAACGACAAUUACAACAAACCAUAAUAGAAAGUAUAUUGUAUAAUGUAAUAAAUGUAACAUGUAGAAAUGUAUACAGAAAUCAGACCAAAUCAUAUUCAGAAAUAAGAAAUGAAGAGAAAUAAUAAUAGUAAAAACAGAGAAACAAAUAUGGGAACUGGCGAACUUUAUAAAGAAAACCAUGAAACCGACAGCUUCCUGCUUGGAUAUAUAAAGGAACCAAACUACAUACUUUAUAUUAUAUUAUAUAUAUUAAUGAAUUAAGAUUUAAUUUAAACAAAUUGUAAUAGGUAUAAGACUCAAU